rnacentral:tRNA from 1 species
GCCUAGUUAGCUUAGUUGGUAGUGCGUCUGCCUUGUAAGCGCUAGGCCGCGGGUUCGAUUCCCGCGCGGGG